AGUAACGCGUGGGUAACCUGCCUUAUACAGGGGAGUAACAGUCAGAAAUGGCUGCUAAUACCGCAUAAGCGCACAGAGCUGCAUGGCUCAGUGUGAAAAACUCCGGUGGUAUAAGAUGGACCCGCGUUGGAUUAGCUUGUUGGUGGGGUAACGGCCCACCAAGGCGACGAUCCAUAGCCGGCCUGAGAGGGUGAACGGCCACAUUGGGACUGAGACACGGCCCAG
rnacentral:rRNA from 1 species